rnacentral:rRNA from 1 species
UACGGGGGGGGCAAGCGUUGUUCGGAAUUACUGGGCGGAAAGGGCUCGUAGGCGGCCAACUAAGUCAUACGUGAAAUCCCUCAGCUUAACUGGGGAACUGCGUGUGAUACUGGAUGGCUUGGAUUUGGGAGAGGGAUGCGGAAUUCCAGGUGUAGCGGUGAAAUGCGUAGAUAUCUGGAGGAACACCGGUGGCGAAGGCGGCAUCCUGGACCAAUAUUGACGCUGAGGAGCGAAAGCCAGGGGAGCAAACGGG